UCUAAUUGUAAAAUACACGAAUAAAAAUUAUAUUCGAUAUUCAAAUAUAUUUUUUGUAUCUUGAUAUAACAAUAUAUACGAUUUAUUCUGCAUAUAUUUUUCAAUAAUAUAUUAUUGUCAUUGCUCGGUGCUUAAUGGAUUAAAAUGCCUAAUGGAUUUAUAUUAAGAUUAUUAAAACAUAAUAUUUUCAAGCCGGGUCGAGGUCAAAAUUGUUCGGGUUAGAUCGGAUCGAAUCGGGCUUCUCCGAAGUAUCUCACGACGCAUGAACGAGAUUUCGAGAAUCCGAAUCAUAUAUCGAGCCGAAUUUUGUUGAAUUCAAUCAUGAAUUUAAAGUGUUUAGAAACUGAGUGAAAGCUAAAUAAAGAGAUCUCGGAAAUUCAGUGUCUUAAAUCUCGAGAUAUUUUCGAAAAUCCGAUUCGAUCCAAUUUGAAUCGAACAAUUCUGAUUCUACUAUUCGAAACUUUUUCAUGACAUGUUGACAAUUCAUUUAUUAAUUCUAUAGUAGUUUUACUACUUAAGCAUUGCGAUUUCGUUUCAAUAAUUAACAUACAAUUAGUUUAACAUAACAAUUAGUUUUCGAUAUCGUUUACAAAUUGCUUGAAAUUAGUUCAAUCAGGAAAGUUGCAGUUAACCUCUUUUAUUUUUAAAACAUUCUAUUAUGAAUAUAUAUAUAAUAUAUAUAAUAUAACCAGAAUAUGAGAAUUGCAAAUUUAAUUCUAUUUUUAUUACUGUGACAAGUGUCUGUUUACAUUAUUGCAAAUAGAAAUAAUGCACAAUUUAGAUUGAUGAAAUAUUAUUAUAAUUUGGAUAAUUCUAGUAUAGAGAUUCUACUAUAUCAUAUAUUUUUACUAAAAUUAUUUUCUUCAAUAGAUAUUAUUUGUAAAAUGAUUUAAUAUGAUGAAAUCAUUUAAAAAGAUUUAGAAUAGUUAUCUAUAUAGUUACCUUAUAUAAUUAUCUUAAUAUGAAUAUUAUAUAUUAAAACCGUAAAAUUUAUUCAGUGACGAUUAGAAUGCAAGGAGACAAGCAACGGUUGAAUGUAUAAGCAGGCUGAGACAAGGGCUAGAAUGACGGAUUUCGUUAAAUAAUUAAUUCGUUAAAUGAUUAAUCACCAUCCGACCAGCCAAACCGUCUGACUUAACCUGUCUAAUUCCAUUAUGAAUUAUUCAUCGCGUCGAUAUAACUUUCGAGUUAACUUCGAUCGUAACGGAAGACGCUCCAUGUGCCCUAUAAAAUAACGUUUCCACGCUUUUCUGCGAAAUUUACAUGUUAAAAUUGGAAUCUGUUACAUUUACUCGAUUAAAUCGAAGAGAUGAUCGAUUUUUCUCGAUAAACUCAUUUUCUAUUGAAAAAAAAAGGUGAUACGCUCUGUACGAUUUCUCACGAGUCCAAUUUAUUUUUCCUAUUUAGCGCCAUCCGAUGGAAAUCUGUUCUGAGGAAAACGCAAUUACAGAUUGUAAAUAGAUCCUUGACAUCGUGAAAUGUUUUGACAUGGAAGGUUCUCUGAAAACUAAAGAUUCUUUUAAUUUGAAGAAAAUCAGAAAUAAUAUUUAAUAAUUAUUUUAUACAUAAUAAAAUAUAUAAGUAAUCAAUUUUUUUAUGAUAAUUUUUGUAAUUUCAUUGCCAAUUUAUUAAAGAUUAUUCAAAAUUA